GGAGUUAGCCGAUGCUUAUUCUUCAGGUACACGUCAUUUCUUCCUCCCUGAAAAAAGAGGUUUACAACCCAUAGGCAGUCAUCCCUCACGCGGUAUUGCUCCGUCAGGCUUUCGCCCAUUGCGGAAAAUUCCC
rnacentral:rRNA from 1 species